UGUAGCCAUAUCACGUUCAAAUAGCUAUUCUCGUACGAUCACAGAAGUUAAGCAACGUUGAGUCUGGUCAGUACCUAGACGGGUAACCAUUGGGGAAUACCAGGUGUUGUAAU